UUAACGUAACCAAUCAUAGACAUUUAACGGUUAAAGGGGUGUGGCCUGCUGCCGGUCAAUCUCGCGCUCAAACAGGCGGGAAACCGACUUUCAAGAAAGGAAAAACAGCUCUGACUGACAAAGAUGAUUCAGAUUAACAUAAUUAAGGAAAGCGACUAUCGUCUGGGUAGCACCUGUAGCUGGGGUCCUCGUGAUGCGCAGAGCAUGUUUCCAUAGGAACAUUUUCCAUGGUAACAUCAGAGAGCAACAACUUCCUGUGUUUCAGGCUGCAACGACUGCGUACUUCUUCUGACACAGGCAGGAGAGCUGCACACAGAUAAGAAAAAAGCAGUAAACCCAAACUUUCUUACCAGCCAGAUACGCUACGCUCUGCGUGUUCACUUCGAACUUAUCACAGUUCAGGUGUUUUCCUACCAAGGCCAACAGCAUGUGCAGGAUACGAAUCGUGCGUGCUACUGUGGUUGGAGAAGGGUGUCUGAAGCCUGCCAAAAUAAAAAUUCAGACUCAAAAGAAGCAUAUACAGCCACAAUGCACUGCAAAAGUUGUCUAGUUUACUGAAGGAAAUAUUUAAAAAUCUAUGUAAAAAUAAAUUUACAUCACAUGCAAAAGCAGAAUGUUUUAUUUGCACUGACAA